AUUGAACGCUGGCGGCAGGCCUAACACAUGCAAGUCGAACGGCAGCACAGAAGAGCUUGCUCUUUGGGUGGCGAGUGGCGGACGGGUGAGUAAUGUCUGGGAAACUGCCCGAUGGAGGGGGAUAACUACUGGAAACGGUAGCUAAUACCGCAUAACGUCGCGAGACCAAAGUGGGGGACCUUCGGGCCUCACACCAUCGGAUGUGCCCAGAUGGGAUUAGCUAGUAGGUGGGGUAAUGGCUCACCUAGGCGACGAUCCCUAGCUGGCCUGGGAGGAUGACCAGCAACGCUGGAACUGAGACACGGUCCAGACUCCUACGGGAGGCAGCAGUGGGGAAUAUUGCACAAUGGGCGCAAGCCUGAUGCAGCCAUGCCGCGUGUAUGAAGAAGGCCUUCGGGUUGUAAAGUACUUGCAGCGGGGAGGAAGGCGGUGAGGUUAAUAACCUCGCCGAUUGACGUUACCCGCAGAAGAAGCACCGGCUAACUCCGUGCCAGCCGCCGCGGUAA
rnacentral:rRNA from 1 species